rnacentral:lncRNA from 1 species
AAAAAAAAAAACAAAACAAAAACAAAAAAAAAAAAGGGAAAAAAACAAGACCAAAACUAAUAAUAAAUAGUAUAUACUAUUACGGUACUGGUUAAAAUACUUUAAAGUCCUUAUGAAAAUUCAUAUUUUUCCUAAAUUUCUACUAGGUAAUUGAUCUGGGUGGUGAGCCAAUUACAAGCAGUCAGUACUUUGGAAAUGGCCGGGCGACAGAAUUCAAGUAUGGUGCAAAACUCGGCACAGUUAUUCGCAAGUGGGAUGGAGAGAAGAUGUUCAAAAAUAGGAACUGGGGAGAAGGUUGGGGUUUCAUGCCUUCUGACAGAGCACUUGUCUUUGUGGAUAACCAUGACAAUCAACGAGGACAUGGGGCCGGAGGAGCUUCUAUUCUUACCUUCUGGGACGCUAGGCUGUAUAAAAUGGCAGUUGGAUUUAUGCUGGCUCAUCCUUAUGGAUUUACACGAGUGAUGUCAAGCUACCAUUGGGCAAGACAUUCUGAAAAUGGAAAAAUAAGUUUUGGAGUUAUUCAAAAUAUCAUGUUUUCAAGAAAAAGGAGGAUAUUCUGUCCUAAGUUAAUAUGA